AAGAGAGCAAUCCGUGGACAGU
rnacentral:miRNA from 2 species